UUUGAGUCCAAUUGAGAUAUCCAAUAAAUUGGAACGAUAUAGAGAAGAUUAACAUGUUUCAUGCACGAUGACAUGCAUAAAUAGAAAAAUAUACAAUUAUU